CUGUCUACCGCCCAGCAGGCAGGCGUCAGAGUCGGCUUACUGUGGGCAGACUGUCCUCCUCUUCUCCGUCCUCAUACACACCAAAGACCGUCCUUUGCUCCCCUCUCAGCGUUUCCAUAGGUGCCGCCAUUAGGAGUGAGGUACCGUAGUCGUAUGCUGGCUCCUCCUCUCACACUGCUAACCACUGGGAACAGCUCCACCCCACGGGGCAGGUCUGCAAAGGCCACACCGAGAAAGCUCCCAUCCACUACAAACCCCAGAGUGCCUGCAUCCGCAUCCAGAACCAGCAGGACGCUUUCAGGGAUGGGGAGCGGCGUCUCUGAGACCUGGAUGUGUGAGGACCACCUCUCCCUUUUUCCGGGAUAACAUCCCAGACUCUGUCCAUUGUGCCACAGCUGGUUGGUUUUGAGUUCCCAGCCCCAUGACUGGUUCCACAGCACCUCCCACACGUGAAGCCCAGUGUGCACCCCCACCUCCGCCCUCACCCCGUCGCUGCUGAGCUCCACCGGAGCACGCAUCGCCUCCCGUUUGCAGGCCGAGAGCAGAAAAUGAGGGGAGCGGUGCACGGAGCUCCAGUGCGAGCGGCCGUCCAGGGAAACCGGUGAGGAGUUCAUGGCGAUCAGGAGGCGAGAGGAGGUGGGAGCGGCCAGUGCAUGGAACCCUGAUGAGGGGGAUGGAGGGCUGCCAGCUGCUCGGCCGUGCAGCCAAGAUGACAGAGAGAGACCCAUUGGUACAAAAAGUACGUAGUGAUAACACAGGCAGAGUCAGGGAAAAGCUGUGGAGAACACAGAAAACAGGCUGAAACAAGCAACAAGCAAACACAUUUUACUUUGAUGCUGGCUAGUUUAGUGAUGCAAACAUAAGACAGAGAACAAAAUAUACCUGUAUAUAAUAACAUUACACUUUUAAGAGGAACGUUAUAACGGAUAGAGUCACACAACAAGCAGCACGAGCAGACAAUUGUUCCAUAAAAUCAAAACGCUACAGUCAUUGUGGACUCACCUGUCUCACCCGCGGUCCGGUUCGGAUGAGUCCUGACUCCUGCUCCGUCACAUCACGACUCAGCGUCCGUCCCCGUGUUUAUAAACGGCCUUAUCGGCCGCGUUGGGCGUCUUCACGUGCCACGUGCCACGUGUUGUGGUGGUGGUGUUUUGGGGCGACCUCCGCGUCGGGAACAGCACAGUCCAUCACUUGAGCCUGACGCCAUCCAGAGCUGCACACACAAGGACGGCAGCUCCAGUGACGCGUUUGCAGACCGGAGUCCCCUCAAAACAAAACGCGGUGAUGGUUUAGGCUAAUCUCAGUUCUCUUUCAAGCCGGUGUCUUUCAGUGUCACCGCGUCCUGUAGUGAAUAUAAACAUAAAUGGCGAAACAUAAAAAGAGGAUUAGACUCGGACUUUUAAUCAGUAAGAACAGAAAAAUACAAUAAAUUCCAAAGCGACUCAUUUUUAACGCAUGCGCACGAACACAGUUUUUAAGCCCCGAGUGAAGACUAACAGGCGGGAUAUCCGUACUGUCCUAAAAAAUGACUGUUGGUUAUGUUAGGCAACGCAAUGGGUUUCCUGUCAGACCCUCAGUAGGGCACAACGGACAAACACGUAGAGACGUAGUCAUGUGUUUUUCUGAGAUUUGUUUUAACAUAAAAAGGACAUACGCUAUGUUCUAGGGUCUAAAGGCAUCUGGUCUGUAUAUAAACAUGAAGGACAAAACGGAUACUGAGAGGGACAUGACGUUACAGAUGUUUGGAGAAAAUGUUGUGGUACAAAACGAUCCUAUCUCCAAGCUCUGCAGUCGAGCCUUGCAGCCAUUACAAUUUAUAUCAACAAAAACAAAUCUUCAUUUUGAGAAAAGGAUGUCUCCAGCACUGGGAGAAUGAAAGACUCCUGGACUACUGGGUCGUCUGGUCUGGCUGAAGGAGCAGGUCUGGAACCAUCACUGGAACGAUGAUGGACCUGAGGAGUAAGACAGAAAGUUUAAAACCUGUAAUGGUGAUUUAUAUCAAUGCUGCACAGUCUGUGUUCGAUCUUUUUAGAUGUCUUUAAGCUCACGAAGGUUCAACAAAAUUGUAAUGUUAUUCACAGCAAAUGCCUCACCUCUUGAUUUCUUAUAUAGAUACAGUAGUAAAUUAUCCCAGCAACUGAAAGACGCGCACCCAGCAGGAACCCUGUUAUCCCAACAGCGAGCACGGGACCUGAAAAUGCAGUGACCACACACUGCAUCAUCUUUCUAAUAACAGAAUGCCUUUAAUAAUAACAUAAUGAGGGUCAUCAGUAGCCAUAGAAAUGAAUGUCUGUUAAAAUGCCUGGUUGAUGCUGGAUAUGGUUGAUUAGUGGCUCCUGCAUAAGGAAGGAUGUGUUAUUGUGGAGGAGCUGUUUAUGGAUUCAAAGAUGUUUUUCUUACUUCACGUUUAGAUUAAGUUGUGAACCCUCUUACCCCAGUCAACAAGCUUGGGCUGCUUGAAGCUGAUGCCCUCCACCAUGCAGGUGAUCUUCUCUCCACGUGGUAAAUCGGUUACUUUCUUGUGAGUUUCACAGGUUACAGAACCAUUUGUUAGCCACAAAAACAAAUCAAUGUGAGCUUAUUUGUAGUUUUACAUUCUUGAAUAACUAAUAAAAAAACACUCAACUUCA